AUCUGGCCAGUUUCAGUGUUAAUAGUGACCACAGGAAAGCCCAUCUGAAGAACCCAGCGGUCCAUAAUGUCUUGCACAGAUCUGGGAGGAGUGCUACUGCUGCUGUCCACAGCCUACAACAUUUCAGAUACGUGUCAGGAGAUGGUGGGAAUGUUUCACCCCCGGCAGCGCCAGGUGAUGUACCUCAGGCUUAGCCAAGACUGAGGCCAGACCAGACCCCUGUACUGCAGGAUAAACCUCAAUGUCCCAGUGCUGGAAAGGUUUUUCAAUGACAGUGACACACGUCCUGAUUUUUGGCUGAGCAGGGAGGCCCUGACAGUGCUGCUGGAUCUUCUGAGAAGUGAACGGCAACACGGAUAGGGUGCUACAAUUGAGACCCUGUUUCUAUUCUGGCUGGCCAGUGGUAUAUCAUACAGUUUGGUCUCUAGAGUGUUUGACAUGCCUCGUUCCACUGUCACCACAUUGUCCACCGAGUCGCUGAAGAGGUGCUGGCCAUUUGCCACCAAAUAAUUCACCUCCUGAAGACCUCAGAAGACCUGGAGGCAGUUGUGGGUUUGCAGGGCUGGCAAGACACAGAGCUUUCAUGAAAACUGCUGGAGCAAUCAACGACUGCCAUGUCCGCAUCAAGCCACCAAGCGGCCUUGAUGGUCAGUGCUACAGGUACAGGAAACUGUUCCCAUCUAUAAUCCUGCA